rnacentral:tRNA from 1 species
GGGCAGGAGCUGUGAUUCAGUAGUAAAGCAUCUGAUUAACAUGCAGAAGGUCCCGGGUUCAAUUCCUGGCACCUGAUCA